AGCUAGAAAACCAAUUAAGACAAUAAGAAAAAUUACUUCUGAGUUAAUAUUUUUUGAAAAUAGGCCUAAUAUUAAGUGUUUUAAGUGAGAAGAAUCUUUAUUUUUUCACUUGGUAAAAUGAAUACAUUUAAAUUAAUUUAGCAGGAUUCAUUUUGGUAUUAAUAAAAUGCAAUAUAUAAAGAACUUAAAUCAUAAAAUCUUUGUGUUCCUGUGCCCUCCCACCAUUCUUGUUUAAUCAAUCAACAAGUAUUUAUUAAGGACUUUCUAUUUGCCAAGCACCAAAUAUAUAGAGAGAACAGAGAGUCAGUCCCCACCUUCAAAAAGUUUACAUUCUGUUUCAGGUGAGAAGACGGAAAAGGAGAGCCAACAUAUAUACAAAUGAGCACAUAACAAAAUAAAUACAAAGUCAUUUAGAGCCAGACACUAAAAACUGAAAGGAAAAGGAAGGGCUUCCUGUAGGAUGUGACCUUAAGAGUUGAGCUUUGAAGGAAAGAUUCUAAAAGGCAGACGAGGAGGGCAUAAGAGGGCAGCCUUUGCAAAGAUAAGAAAAUAAGAGAUGGAAUGUUAUAUCUGAAGAAAAGAAAGAUAAAUUUGGCAGGGAUACCUCCCCACCCUCCAUAAUACACAUUUUCAUUUGCAUGCCAUUUUCAUCAGAACCUACAAACAAAAUAUGCAAGCUAGAUGGAAGCAAUCUUUUCUUCUAAUUAAGUUUGUAUAAGGCUAACUUGGAUGUUCUUUACAUGCCACUGCAAUGGAGCUGUUCUGCUAAAUAAGAACUAAGUUUACCAAUUUAUAAUUGAAUGAAAAAAUAGUACAAAAACUACUCGAAAAUUUCAAUCCAAGAUAGGAUGACUUAGGUAGCUAUCAUUUUAAGAUAAAAUCUUUUAAUAGGUGAAAAAAAAGUAGAUGUUUUGUACAACAUAUCUUCUGAAAACAUGCAUAAUUAUCUGGCUUAAAAGGGUUUUUUAAAAGAAAAGUGGACUUGAGAUAAUAUGAAAACAAUCUACAGGAAGAAAACACUGAAUUUUGGAGGUCAAAUUCCAUCUCUAUCACCAUAAGUUACUCUGGGCUUUGAGCUUCCUCAUUUCUGGUAGAGUAGAUAAGACCUAAAAAUCUUGCCCCCAUUAAAUCAGUAAUCUGGAUUUAAAAUGCAGUAAUAAAUUAAUAGCAAGAGAAUAUAUUUCUUGGAAUAUACCCUCCUACUAGCCUAUAAUUACUGCACCCCUUGAUAGAAUACAUCUGAAAAUCUUAGGAAAUACUAAAUCAGUUUACCAAUUAAUAAAUUCUCCAAUAAUUUAUUAUACAAUGUUUAAAAAUUGAGCUCUCCUAGCACAUUUUAAAUUGUUUUAUUUACAGAAAUUUACACACAUUUUUUUCAGGAACAUGUCUAUGGUGAGAAAAAAAAUGAGGUAUAUAUCCACACAGUGAACAGCAGCUAUCUUAUAACAGAAAAUCCAUUAUCUAGUACAUUGUAUAUUAUUAUUAUUAUUAUUUGGCAUAAUAUAACACUCCUCAAAUAGAAAAUAUCAUAGGAUUAAUUUCUCCAACUUUUAAUAUUAACAUCUCACUUUUUUCCACAAUCGCAAUAGGUGCGCUUUUAUUAGUUGGAGAGAACUAUUAAAUGACUGUACCCUAUUGAAAUAUUAUUUAAAAUUUGAUUAAAAGCUAGAACACUUCCCCCAUGGAGGUCAAAGAAAAACAAUGGCCCACUGUGUACCAAAUAUAUUCACAGCAGUAGUUUUUAAGGUAGCAGGUAACUGGAAACAAAGUACAUACUCAUCAACUUGCAAAUGACUAAACAAAGGUGGCAUAUGAAUGUAAUGGAAUAUUAUCCAGUAAGGAAUUACAAAAGUGAAUUCAGAGAAACACUAGAAGAUCAUAUGAACUGAUGUAGUAGGAAAUAAGCAGACCAAAAAUUAUAUAAAUGACAAAUAUAUAAUGUAAAUGAAAAGGUCACUAAAAAGGAGUUGAACUUUGAGCAGUUGAAACACGAAUAAGAGUGCUAGAAAGCAGACAAAAUAUUCCUCCAUCCCCUCAACAAGAUAGAAUAAUUCCCAGGAAAGAAUCUUGUAUUUACCAGUGCACUGAACUGGUAGUUUUUGAGUGUUUUUUUUUUUUUUUUUUUUUUUAAGUAAGGGUGGGCUCAAAUCUGAAGGGUUAGAAACAGGGGGAAAGAAAUUUCCAAAAAUGACAAAUACAAAGAAAAGGCAUCAAAAAAACUUUUUAAAAGAACAGUUAACACAUUUCAGUGCCUUAUAUUUCUAGUUUAGGCUUUUCAAAAAUGUAAAAUAUGUACUGUCUUAUAAACAAAAAUUAAACUGAUUCAAAAUCAAAAGAAUUUGUGCUUUAAAUUUUUUUUUUCCCCAGGACCAGCUGUUAGUGACUCUAAGCUAUCACCCGCUAUUUGACUUUGUGCCCUUGUGAUUUAAUGCACAGGUAUUACUUAAGGUGACCAACUGGAGUCUGGUGUUAUGUUUUUUUUUAAUACCAUGUCAGGACAACACUGACCCCAAGAACUACUUGAGCUGAACCAAAUGAAUUUCAAUCAGCCAUAGACUUGUAAUUCGAAAACUCUAAUUUCCAACAAUGUGAGCAGGGGUUACAAUUCAUUAGUCACAUACUACACACUUUAUGCUUUAUACUAUGAAUUGACCACCUCUACAAAAAUGACAGAGUUUAAAGUAUCUAAAAAUUUAUCUAAAAUGUAAAAUUUCUAAGAUUAAAUAUUGUGGGUAGAGAUUUAAAAGGAAAAUAUUUCAUAAAAAAUAUUAUAGAGGAAGUAAAAUGUAGGCACUUAAGGCUGUUUUUUGUUUUUUUCUUUUCUGAAAAGCACAGAUAACUUCAACAUAACCAAAAAUAAGGCCCUGCCUCUGGGUAGUUAAGUCACAAAACCUUCAAUAUCAGAGACAGAAAAGUUCUAUGUCAAACAUAUUAUCAAGGUAAAUGAGAAUUAACUACACAUUUUUCCUCCCAACAAAGGCAGUUUUUUUUUCAACUUAAUAUUUUUAAUAUACAAGUAAUGAAUGCUGAAAGGUUUGGGCUCUUAAUAGCCUAUUCUCAAAUACUUUUCUCAAAAGUCAAUGUUCAGAAUGAGGAUUUACAGCAACUAAAGUACCACUAAGUUCUAUUAAGAUAACAGAUUUCAUUAAGACAUUUUAAGGAUUUUUUUAAAAUAAAGAUUUCUGAAAGAUUACUACAUCUUUGGGUUAACCAUUUUACAUUGGUUUUUACCUGUAAUUGCAAAAGAUUACAUUCCAUUUUCUAAUUAUUUUGACACUAAGAACAUUAACUGGAUGUAUGAAAAAUCUAGUAUCACUGAAAUCUCAGCAAAUAAAAUUUACAUAUUCAAAUCCUUUUCUUCGAUUAUUGAACAGUAUCACAAGAGGAUUUUUCAUACAUAAAGGCCAACAAGACUCACCCAAUACUCCCAUUGAUGAUUGAUACUGACAAUUCUCACUUUAACACUAAUAUAUUAAAAUCAUUAAAAAUUACAAUUUGACAAGUCACUUAAGUCUAGUGAUUUCUGUGUAAACAAAAAUAUAAGAAAAGUACCUUAGCAACAAACUCAACAAAAAAAUAAAAAAUCUUUAUAAUAGAAACAAUUGAGUGUUAAAUGCAGAGCAAAAGCACCUAGCAUAACUUAUAAUACUCAAAUGUAGAUGGCUCAUUUUUCAUGUACUCCUUUUGGAAAAUAAAGCUCAUAUAAUUAAUAUUCAAAAUGAUUACUUAAGUAAAACUAUUCUAAGUAGAAAGUGAAUGAUUCCUAUUUUUUUUUUUCCUCUAAGCAAGUCUCUGAUUCAUUUAAGAAAUAGUUAAUGGGGAGGGAUCAGGGCAUUUUCCUACCUGGCAAAAACCAAGCUUCCAGAUCACAAAAAAACACAUCUGCAUUUAAAAGAAAAAUGCAAACACAACUUAACCAUGUUUUAUUUGACUGCAUCUUGUUUAGACAGCUUGCACAUUUCAAACUUCAUUAUAAUCCCUUUCUCCAAAGGAUAAGGAACAGAAGAAAAUAAUGCAGCAUUAUAAUCAAACAGCAGUUCAAUAUUUUUGAAAUACACGUGAUAUUUUAUAGAUACCCCACUCAUAUCCAACUCCAAUGUAAUUUAUGGUUAUGUUAUUACAAACCUGACAGCCCUGUAACAUUAUAGCACUCAAUUGUACUGAUGUCAUGGUGCAAUGAAAAAUAAUUUUGAUGCACUAUGCCAAUUAGAUUAUGUCUCCACUACAGGAAAAUGAGGAAUUUCAUGAUUUGGGAGCACUGUGAUACACAUAUCCAGACUUACACAUCAAGCCAAUGCCAGCAUACAGUGCUAAGUUAAAACCUAAGUGACAAAGACAAACUCCUUUGUGUAGAUCUGUCAAGCAAAUGGGGAGAAAAAAAAAGAGGGAAAUCCUUAAACAAAAUUUAAAAAAGAAAAUUAACAAUUUGUUGUUGCUAGUUUUAACCUGAAAUACUAAUAUGUUUUCUGAAUUGGGACCUUAUGAGUAUGUGGAUCUCAAUGCAAGAUUAUUAGAUCUCACAUUAAGUACAUACCCACUAGCUUCUUUAAUACUAAUAUGUACAGCUUCUUUAUAGUCCGUGAUGAAACUACAUUAGGUGUAGAGACUGUCAAACUAUCAAUCUUUAAUAGGCAACACUCUUUUAAAAGAAAGUUGUACCCAUUUUGCUCAGUUUUAGCUGUGGUUUUCAAUGUCAUUUACAAACUUAAUGAUACUAUAAUUAUAUUCAAAUUUAAGUCGUGCCUUAAAAUGAUGGAUAUCUAAUAUUAAAAAAAUCAUGGGGGAAAUUAAUUUAUUUUUAAAAAUUUCAUUUUAAAUGCUAAUCAAUUUUGAUAGUGGGUUGUUAUGGUUCAAUAGUUUCAAUUGGGAAAAAUAAUUUUUCCGUCCAGUAAAAAAAGUGUAACAUGUAUGGAAUAUGUUAAAUAAUUGUAUAAUCAUGUGGCUUUCUAACUCAGUCAUUUAAUUAAGGCCUUGUCUACAAAAUGCCAACAACCAAUUCAGUCGAUUCAGUGAAACUGGUCAAUCUGAAAGGAAAAAAAUAUUUAUAUUCGUUAUUUUACUGGUCUGACAAGGCGAUGAUAGUCUGAUUUGUGUAUAACAUCUUGCCUUCUUUACAACUGUGUGUGACUGGUCUAAUCACACUGAGUAUUCGUUAGCUUAUUACAGCAUUCACCUCUGAACCAUCAACUAAAUUAUAUUUAAGGACUUUUGUGCAAUCAAUCUAUUGUUUCAGUUCAACUUUCUUUAAAGCAUACAAAGUACCACUAUGAUUGGUACUCUUAUCAUCAAAAGUCAGAAUUUAAAAGAAAACUAAGUUUAAAAAAACCGUCUGUUCCAAAGGCUGUCACCCUCAGUGUUAUAUGGAUUCACCAACACCAAUCCUAUUUUUUUUAAUGUACUUAUUGUUCUGUGUAUAAAGCCUAAUAGGAUUGAGCACUUUUAAUAAAAUCUCUUUAAAACCAAGACAAAUGAUCCCACCAGAAUUUUUUUUCACCAUAUAUAUUUAUAUAAACUGAAAUUUUCAUUUGAAAGUGCUUGUUCCCUUCAAACACACUCUACUGAGCAAAGAGUAGCUUUCCUUUAAAAAAAAAAAAAAAAAAAAAAUUAGUUUUUUUCCUGAAAGUGGAACUUUUUCAAAUAUUAAUGGAGGUAGGGUUUUUUUUAAAUGUACAGUAAUUAUAGUGAUAAGAAAAAAAUUAAAUUAAAACCAAAUCCUAACAGUACAAAUAUAGUAAGGCAAAUCUGAAUUUUGAAAAAAGUAUGUUUUCUAUAGAACAUUCUUCAAUGAGUGCAUCCCUUUCCAAGGAUACUUGGGUUUUCCAGUUAUAGGAAUAAACCCACAUUAGUUUAUUCCUAAAAUUGAAAAACAAAUUUAUUUUAACAAGCUGUUAUAUCAUGCCAAUUGACAAGUUAGCGAAAUACAAUGUAACCAAUGAUGAUUGGUGGAUCACAUGGUGAUCAAUCACCAUGAUUGAUGUUUUUUUGUUUUUUUUUUUUUGACAAAACCCAUGUAACUUGUUAAAAAAAAAAAUGUAUACUCUUCUCCCUUUUUCUGGAGGGGAAGGGGAGGAAUAGAAACAUCCUCCCCUAGAACUUGCUCACAUAGUUUAGAGGGGAAAAAAAGCAGCUGAUAUAAACUACACCUUGAAAUUUAUUUCCAAGACCAAGAACUGAAAAUCAAAGCAUUUUAGAACACCGAAGCAAUCUGAAUCCAAAUCAAGUGAAAAAAAGUUCCAACUGCUUUAUAAAAGCUGUUUUCCAUAGCUCAUAGCAAUAAUUUUGAUUAAAUAAAAUCAUACCAAUUUACAUUAAUUUUCUAUUCCUGUCCAAAAAUCCCUAUCAAAAAGAAAAAGUGCAUCCAAACCCAGCAAUGUACUGGAGCCUUCAAGUUCCCAACCCCUUCACCUACACUUCCCCC
rnacentral:lncRNA from 1 species